UGGGGAAUAUUGCGCAAUGGCCGCAAGGCUGACGCAGCGACGCCGCGUGCGGGAUGAAGCCCCUCGGGGUGUAAACCGCUGUUGCUCGGGAAGAACAGACGAGGAUUUCCUUGUCCUGACGGUACCGAGUGAGGAAGCACCGGCUAACUCCGUGCCAGCAGCCGCGGUAAUACGGAGGGUGCAAGCGUUGUCCGGAAUCACUGGGCGUAAAGGGCGCGUAGGCGGUUUGGCGCGCGUGCGGUGAAAGCUCGGGGCUUAACCCCGAGUCUGCCGUGCGGACGGCCAAGCUAGGGCACUGUAGAGGCAGGUAGAAUUCCGGGUGUAGCGGUGGAAUGCGUAGAGAUCCGGAAGAAUACCGGUGGCGAAGGCGGCCUGCUGGGCAGUAGCCGACGCUGAGGCGCGACAGCGUGGGGAGCAAACAG
rnacentral:rRNA from 1 species